UCGAGUUCCCGACUCCCUAUUAACUUGUUUGGUUGUUGUGUGCUUGGAAGCUGAUGUAAGUCCAUUGAGUGGCAUUCGGGCUCCAGUGUGCGUGUGUUUGGUUCGGAUGCCGAUGCAAGUCCAGUAAUUGGCUUUCGGGCUCCACGUUUGCCUUUUUGUGUGUGUUUUGGUUCGGAUGCUGAUGUAAGUCCAGUGGUUGGCAUUCAG
rnacentral:lncRNA from 1 species